rnacentral:misc_RNA from 1 species
GAUGAAGAACGUAGCGAAAUGCGAUAAGUAAUGUGAAUUGCAGAAUUCAGUGAAUCAUCGAAUAUUUGAACGCACAUUGCGCCCGCCAGUAUUCUGGCGGGCAUGCCUGUUCGAGCGUCAUUUCAACCCUCAGGCCCCCAGUGCCUGGUGUUGGGGAUCGGCCCAGCCUUCCUGUAAGGCCGCCGGCCCCGAAAUCUAGUGGCGGUCUCGCUGUAGUCCUCCUCUGCGUAGUAGCACAACCUCGCAGUUGGAACGCGGCGGUGGCCAUGCCGUUAAACACCCCACUUCUGAAAGUUGACCUCGGAUCAGGUAGGAAUACCCGCUGAACUUAAGCAUAUCAAUAAGCGGAGGA